rnacentral:rRNA from 1 species
AGUGAACGCUGGCGGUAGGCCUAACACAUGCAAGUCGAACGGCAGCACAGUAAGAGCUUGCUCUUACGGGUGGCGAGUGGCGUACGGGAGAGGAAUACAUCGGGAUCUACUUUUUCGUGGGGGAUAACGUAGGGAAACUUACGCUAAUACCGCAUACGACCUACGGGUGAAAGCAGGGGAACUUCGGACCUUGCGCGAUUGAAUGAGCCGCUGUCGGAUUAGCUAGUUGGCUGGGUAAUGGCCCACCAAGGCGACGAUCCGUAGCUGGUCUGAGAGGAUGAUCAGCCACACUGGAACUGAGACACGGUCCAGACUCCUACGGGAGGCAGCAGUGGGGAAUAUUGGACAAUGGGCGCAAGCCUGAUCCAGCCAUACCGCGUGGGUGAAGAAGGCCUUCGGGUUGUAAAGCCCUUUUGUUGGGAAAGAAAAGCAGCAGGUUAAUACCCCGCUGUUCUGACGGUACCCAAAGAAUAAGCACCGGCUAACUUCGUG